UGGUGUGGAGCUGUAGAAUAUGGCCGGGAACUCCUGCUAUCAGCAGUAUUUGUUCCCUCUGUGAAAUGUCUGCCCCACAGCAUC
rnacentral:pre_miRNA from 1 species